rnacentral:rRNA from 1 species
AUUGAACGCUGGCGGCAGGCCUAACACAUGCAAGUCGAACGAGUGGCGGACGGGUGAGUAAUGUCUGGGAAACUGCCUGAUGGAGGGGGAUAACUACUGGAAACGGUAGCUAAUACCGCAUACCAUCAGAUGUGCCCAGAUGGGAUUAGCUGGUUGGUGGGGUAACGGCUCACCAAGGCGACGAUCCCUAGCUGGUCUGAGAGGAUGACCAGCCACACGGGAACUGAGACACGUCCCAGACUCAUACGGGAGGCAGCAGGGGGGAAUAUUGCAAAAGGGGCGAAAGCGUGAUGCAGCCAUGCCGGGUGUAUGAAGAAGUCUGUGGGUUUGAAAAGUAUUUUCAGCGGGGAGGCGUAACCCGCAGAAGAAGCACGGGUUAACUCCGUGCAACCAGCCGCGGUAAUA